GGCACAGUGUUGUCUCCUGAUUGUGAAGCUGGGCCUUGGUGUUGAUUUGCGCAACUGCCAUUUGCCAUUGAUGAUCAUUCUUCUCUCCUUUCAGGGGAAUAAGGUGGAGAGGACGCAGUCUGA
rnacentral:snoRNA from 1 species